rnacentral:lncRNA from 1 species
AUCCCAGCACCCAGUACAGUAAAUGGUAGGUGUUUCAUAAAUGAUUGUUGGAUAAUUGAAUGAGUCAGACACUUAUUCAUUAUUUACUGAAUCACAGCUUCAGAGAGGGAGACCUAGAGGUCUUUUAGUCUAACUUCUCCCACUUUACAGAAGAAGGAACCAGGGCAAGGUGACUCCUAGUGAGAUCAUAACUGAGUGAGAAUUAAAUUCCAUGUCUCCCCUCCCCAAUCCCUGGGUUUACAAUACCAGGCUUCCCAAGGUAGAAUGCUUAGCAUAUUUUUGUUGGGUAGAUUAUUUCAGCAUUAUAUAACACUGAAUCCACAUAGUGACCAAAUUGUUUCCUUUUAAAGUCUUUUUAUUUUUCUUUUCUUUUUUUUUUUUUUGAGACGGAGUCUCACUCUUUCGCCCAGGCUGGAGUGCAGUGGCACGAUCUUGGCUCACUGCAACCUCCACCUCCCAGGUUCAAGCAGUUCUCUGCUACAGCCUCCCAAGUAGCUGGGAUUACAGGUGCCCACCACCACGCCCAGCUAAUUUUUGUAUUUUCAGUAGAGACAGGGUUUUACCAUGUUGGCCGGACUGGUCUUGAACUCCUGACCUUGUGAUCCACGUCUCUCGGCCUCCCAAAGUGUUAGGAUUACAGGCGUGAGCCACUGUGCCUGGCCAAGUCUUUUUUUUUUUAGACAAGGUCUUGCUCUGUCACCCAGGCUGGAGUGCAGUGAAUGGCUCAUUGCAGCCUCCUACUCCUGAACUUAAGGGAUUCUCCUACCAGAUCCUCCACAGUAGCUGGGACUACAGGUGGGCACCACCAGACUUAGCUAAUUUUCUUAUUUUUUUGCAGAGACAGGGUCUCACUGUGUUGCCCAGGCUGGUCUUGAACUCCUGAGAUCAAGCAAUCCUCCUGCCUUGGCCUCCCAAAGUGCUAGGAUUAGAGGGGUGAGCCACCAUGCCUGGCCUGCACUUGCACUUGACUAGUCUUAAAAAAAAAAAAAAAAAAGAAUAAAGAAUAGCCUUUUCCAAGGCUUCUGAUCAUAAAGAGGAGAAAGUCUUAGUUUGGAGCUAAUAAGUUGCUAACACCUUUCUAACACUUGCUAAUCUUUCCUAGAGCCCUCACAACUAACAGCAUUAAUUAAUUAAUUUUAUUUUAUUUUAUUUUAUUUUUAGAUGGAAUCUCGUUCUUUUGCCCAGGCUGGAGUGCAGUGGGUGUGAUCUCAGCUCACUGCAACCUCCACCUCCCAGGUUCCAGGGAUUGUCCUGUCUCAGCCUCCUGAGUAGCUGGGAUUACAGUCGCCCGUCACCACGCCCAGCUAAUUUUUUGUAUUUUUAGUAGAGAUGGGGUUUUGCUAUGUUGGCCAGGCUAGUCUCAAACUCCUGACCUCAAGUGAUCCGCCCGCCUCAGCCUACCAAAGUGCUAGAAUUACAGGCAUAAGCCACCAUGACUGGCCCUAAUAGCAUUAAUUUAAUUUGAUAUUGUUAUAUUGUUUUAUAAAUAUUUUCAAGCACACCCCAAAGAGAAUAAUAUAAUUAAGCUUCCAUGGACCAUCACCUAGCUUGAAUUACUAUCAACCUUCUAUCAGUUUAUUUUACAUACCCACCCCCAUCACAUACCUUUUCCCAGGAGUAAUUCAAAAUAAAUCCCAUAUAUUAUAUCAUGAUACCCAUAAAUAUUUCAGUAUCUAUAGCUAAUAGAUAAGGUCUUUCUUUUCAACAUAGCCACAUCGCCCUCAUCUCAUCUAACAAAAUUAAAGUAGUUCCUUAAUUAGCCAUCUGUGGUGCUGCACGCCUGUAGUCCUAGCUAUGGAAGGCUGAGACGGGAGGAUUGCUUGAGCCCAAGAGUUUGAGGUCAGCCUGGGCGACAUUGCAAGGCAAGGCCUCUAAAAAAACAGGAGAAAAAAGUAAUCCCCUAAUAUCAUUCGAUACUCAGUCUGUGUUCAAAUUUUCUGUUUUCUGAAAAAUGCCUAUUUAAAUUUAGUUGCCUUGAAUCAGGCUACAAAGAAGCUCGUGCUUUACACUGUAUUCUUUUUUUUUUUUUUGAGACAGAGUUUCACUCUUGUUGCCCAGGCUGGAGUGCAAUGGCGCGAUCUUGGCUCACUGCAACCUCUGCCUCCCGGGUUCAAGGGAUUCUCCUGCCUCAGCCUCCCAAGUAGCUGGGAUUACAGGUGCCAGCCACCACACACAGCUAAUUUUUGUAUUUGUUAGUAGAGACGGGGUUUCACCAUGUUGGUCAGGCUGGUCUUGAACUCCUGACCUCAGGUGAUCCACCUGAAGUGCUCCCAAAGUGCUGGGAUUACAGGCUUGAGCCACCACCGCGCCCGGCCUACACUUUAUUCUUAUGGUUCAUUUAAUCUAUUAGAGAUCCUCCCUUCACUCCCCACCUUUUGUCAUGCCAUUCAUUUAUUGAAGAAAUCAUGUUAUUUGUCUUGCAAAAUUCACCAUAUUCUGGUUUGGCUGAUUUAAUUCUUGUGUUUUUAGACACAUUUCUCUAUUCCUUUGUAUUUCCCAUAAACUGGUAGUUACACUCAGGUUAAUUUCUUUUGCCAUAAGUACUUCCUAUGUCAUGGUGUGCACAUUUUAUUACAUCACACCAUGAAGAACAAGAUGUCUCUUUGUCCCACACUUAGUGAUGUUAAGAUUAUUGAAUUCGGAUGUGAGGACGAUCUGGCUACGAUAUGUGUCACCUCAUUGACCGCCAGGGUUGAUUUGGCUGCUCUGGCUGGCUAGGCAGGUGUCCCUGUCCUUCCUCACCACUCCAUGCACGUCCCCCUGAAGCUGAGUGCUAGGUCUGAGAGGAUGACCAUCCCAGACAGAGCUGGACUGGUCUUCAGUCAAGGGUGUACAAACAGCUGCACUCCCCUGCUAGAACCUCCAAACAAACUAUCAAGAUUAUUGAACUGGUUCAAGUACUGUUGUCCUGGCCCAUCCAUUACAUGGUUCCUCAUCGACCUCUCAUUCCUUAAUCGUUACUUUGACCCAUUACUCUUAGGGGCUGCAAAAUGUUGAUCUUCAAUUUCUAACAAUGCUUCCUCAAUGUUUUAAGGAAGAACUUCCCCUUGAGAAAGAAAAGUAGCUCAGAGCUGUCCAAAGAAUGUGGAGUGUGCAAAAUUUAUCAGGCUGUGAGAGACCAUGAGUAUGAGACAGUCUUGACACCCACCCCCUUCCACUCCCAUUUUCCAGGGACAAUUGUUUAAAGGCAUUUUUUUCUUUCUUUCCUUCACCAAAGCUUCCAGACUAGUUGAUAAAUAACCUAAACUGUUACCAUAAGUUGCACUAUGUGACCUUUACCCAUUAUCUUUAUGUUCCUGGAAUUUGUGGUGCAAAAGAACGUUGUAUAGCCAAUCAAUAGCUUAUGUUAUUUUAAUGUAAAUUUAAUUAUACAAAACACUUAAUAGUUCCAAAGUUAAAACUAUAUAACAAAGUAAUCAGAGAACACUAGCUUUUUAUCAACAACAUUUUCUCUCUCCCUAAGGUAACCAUCUCUAUUAAUUUUUAGUUUUACCUUUCAGUUGCUUCUUUUUGGGUAUGUGAGCAAAUGCACAUGUGCAUGUUUUUAUUUUUCUCUCUCUUGCAGUCUAAACAUUGCUCUGCACUUUGUUUUUAAUGGUUUGUUCACUUUUUACUAAUAUUCCCUGAAGCUCAUUCUAUAGCAUUAUAUAAAAAUUAUUCAUCCCUUUUUACAUUUGGUUAGAACGUAAUAGCAUAAUUGUAUUAUCACUGUCAAUUACUUUCUCUUUAUGACAAGUGUAUCAGCCAGGUUCCUGGCAGAAAACAGAUGGCACUUUCAAAAUGGGUAAUCUGAGAAUUUCAUCAAGGGACUAUUUAUAAAGAUGUGGGCCCUGUGUAUGUAAAUCACAAGGACAGUGCAGUCCUCUAGGGACAGCUGCAGCAAGGUGCCUGAGGGGUAAGGGAGAGUGGGUACUAGAACCAGAGAGAGGGCCAAGGAACAGGAGCUCAGCCCUUGGGUUGAAGAACACAGCCAGUCUGCUGUGAUCCUCUAGGGAAGGGGAUGGGGAAAGAAAGAUUCUAACUUCACUCUUGUUUCUCCCUCUUCCCAGUCGCCUACUGAUGCUCCCCACUGGCCAAUCCCAGAUGGAAACAGAGGCCAUGGGAGCUCAUGGGUGUGGGCCAUAAGGUCAGCCCCUCUGGCCUAGAGAGCAGUUGGGGAGGGGCAGAGAGUGGAUCUGAGGGGAUAUGUGGACACACUUGGCAAAUUAUACUCUUUUUUCAGUGUUAUGAUAUAAGGUUUUCUUUAAGUUAAAUUUAUUUAGAUUAAAAAAAAGUUGAAAUUAAGUAAUUCUGUAGGUGUUAUGAGGAUAUGGCAACAAAGGUAAAGAUGGUACCAGAUGACUGAAGUCUCAGAAGUCCUGCUCUGGACCACUACUCCUUCUAUUUUAGAUAUUGGCCUCCCCUCCCUCCUGCCCCUUCCCUGGCUGCCUUUCCCGUGGCCCUUUGAGAGCCUCUGAGAAACAUUACGGAAUGAUAUUUUUAAUUGGAAAGCACAGGAGAGGCCCAGAAGAGUCCUUGGGUGAAGGGGUUGGCGAGCCUCUGAAAUGGAUCUAUAUACUCCCGGGCAUCCCACGGCACCGGGCCCCACCCAGACCCACUCCCGUGGCUGCCCUCCCAUGAGCACAAGGUGGCUUUCUUAUUUUUUGGCCAGCUGAGCGGCUGAGGGAAGCUGGAUGCCGCCUGCCUUUGGGGCCAAAACUCUGGGCUGGAAACUGAAAAUGACCUUAAGGUGUAAAUAUCCCAGGCCUGGAUUCAGUCCAAGCUGCACUUGGCCCUCACAAGCCAGUCAUAUAGCCUGAGGGGCUAAGAAUGAUCUCAGAGAGCCAAGUGCAGUGGCUCACGCCUGUAAUCCCAGCACUUUGGGAGGCUCAGGCAGGCAGAUCACGAGGUAAGGAGUUCGAGACCAGCCUGGCCAACAUGGUGAAACCCCGUCUCUACUAAAAAUACAAAAAAAAAUUAACUGAGCAUGGUGGCACUCACCUGUAGUCCUGGCUACUCGGGAGGCUGAGGCAGGAGAAUCGCUUGAACCCGGGAGGUGGAGGUUGCAGUGAGCCAAGAUCAUGCCACUGGACUCCAGCCUGGGCAACAGAGCGAGACUCCAUCUGAGAAAAAAAAAAUUGUCUUGUGUGUUUAUUUAUGGGCCUGUUCUCUAUUGCCUUCUCCCCAGAAUGUAAGUGCCAUGAAAGCAGGGACCUCGUCUGUCUUUGUCUCCACUGUAGCUCUUGUGCCUCACACAAUACCUACAUUUGUUUCACAGUGAUGAUGUUUCCAUUAUCAAUAACUCACCAUAGGAAUUUUAUAUUUGUUUUACCAUAAUUUUAAAAAUCAGCCUUAAUAGUUACAAAAAUUAGAAAGUUUAAGAAAUAAUGUUACAGUUAAUUUUCAAGAAUUUUACUGACUCCCACAGCGCUUGGAUUACAGGUGCCAGCCAGUGUACCUGUCCUUGCUUUCUUGAUGUUUUCUCU